rnacentral:lncRNA from 1 species
CGGGGAUAUGCCUGACUUCUUCCUCCUAGGGUUACAGGGUGGGUGAUGUCGGCCAAGGGGAGGAGAGAACAAAAUGAAGCAGUUGGUGGAAAGUAUGCAGCCUGUGGUCUGGUACACAGUAAGCACUCAAUAAGUAGCAGAGUAUGUGUGGGUUUUGGAUGAGUGACCGCUAAGCUUUUUUUUUGACACAGGGCCUUGCUAUGUCACUUAGGCUGGAGUGCAGAGGCACAAUCAUAGCACAUUGAAGCCUCUACCUCCUGGGCUCAAGUGAUCGAUCCUCCUGCCUUGACCUUCCGAAGUGCUGGGAUUACAGAUAUGAGCCACCACACCUGGCUGGAGUGACCUGCUAAGUUUUAAUGGGAUUCCUGGUGGGUUGGGUGAUACCUGAGGGGACCUGCCUACUUGGGACUCGCCCCAUGGAGGGCUCAGUGACCUCAGAUGAGCUGGAGGUGGGGAGGUGGUGGGCAGGCGAAUGGGAGGAGGAACUGGUUGGGGGCAGGCACACAGUGUCCCGACUGGGAGGGCAGGCCUUUCCGGGCUCCCCACCAGCUCCCCUCAAUCUCUGUGUGUGGUCCACAGGCAGGACCCCCAUUUGGGCUCUGUUUAUGUGUGAUUACAAUCUGUGGUCUGUCUCUCCCAUAGGUGCUAAGUUCCCUGGACAGGAACCCAUCUGUUGUAUGGGUGGCUGUGUCCUCAGCUCUUAGAAUGGCACUGGGCACAUAGCAGAUCCCCUUUUAUUCAAUCCCUGGAUGUUUCUGAAGCCUCACUGCAAGAACAGAGUGAAAGGGAGCUGCAGAGGAGAUGGGGGGCAGGGCCCAGCCCUGGGCAGCCCCCGGGAGUCCUGCAAGCCAGGGGCACAGCUUGAACACUUAGCCUGACUGUUCACCAUUUUGCCACAGCUUCCUCCUCUGAGUCUUUCCUCUCCAGGGUUCCUCCAGUGAAGCCUCUGCUUCCAGUGGUUUGGAGCAGUCCCAGAAAUCUGCACUGUUAACAAGCCUGCCUCAUCGUUCUGAACUUAUUUCUGGUUAAGAUUCACCGACACCUUCUAGGACUGCUGGAUCCUAUAGUUCAGCAGCACCAUGAUAGACUUCAACUCCUGCCCGUGUCCCGCAAGAUUUGACGUGAUGGAGCUCCACUGACCGCCCCUCCUCUCCCUUUCACCCCUCC